UACGGGGGGAGCAAGCGUUGUUCGGAUUUACUGGGCGUAAAGGGCGCGUAGGCGGCCUCUGCAAGUCGACUGUGAAAUCUCCGGGCUUAACCCGGAAAGGUCAGCCGAUACUGCAGGGCUAGAGUGCAGAAGGGGCAACUGGAAUUCUCGGUGUAGCGGUGAAAUGCGUAGAUAUCUGGAGGAACACCGGUGGCGAAGGCGGCAUCCUGGACCGACACUGACGCUGAGGCGCGAAAGCUAGGGUAGCAAACGGG
rnacentral:rRNA from 1 species